rnacentral:rRNA from 1 species
CCUACGGGAGGCAGCAGUGGGGAAUAUUGGACAAUGGGCGAAAGCCUGAUCCAGCAACGCCGCGUGAGGGAUGACGGCCUUCGGGUUGUAAACCUCUUUCAGUACCGACGAAGCGCCCUGUCGGGUGGUGACGGUAGGUACAGAAGAAGGACCGGCCAACUACGUGCCAGCAGCCGCGGUAAUACGUAGGGUCCGAGCGUUGUCCGGAAUUAUUGGGCGUAAAGGGCUCGUAGGCGGUUUGUCGCGUCGGGAGUGAAAUCUUACAGCUUAACUGUGAACUUGCUUCCGAUACGGGCAGACUUGAGGCAUUCAGGGGAGAACGGAAUUCCUGGUGUAGCGGUGAAAUGCGCAGAUAUCAGGAGGAACACCGGUGGCGAAGGCGGUUCUCUGGGAAUGUACUGACGCUGAGGAGCGAAAGUGUGGGGAGCGAACAGGAUUAGAUACCCUGGUAGUCCACACCGUAAACGUUGGGCGCUAGGUGUGGGGCCUAUUCCAUGGGUUCCGUGCCGCAGCUAACGCAUUAAGCGCCCGCCUGGGGAUACGGCCGCAAGGCUAAAACUCAAAUGAAUUGACGGCUGAGAGNGCGAGCGACGACGAGGAGAG